rnacentral:rRNA from 1 species
UACACUUUAAAUCCUUUAACGAGGAUCUAUUGGAGGGCAAGUCUGGUGCCAGCAGCCGCGGUAAUUCCAGCUCCAAUAGCGUAUAUUAAAGUUGUUGCGGUUAAAAAGCUCGUAGUUGGAUCUCGGUUUCACUCAGGUGGUACACCUUGCGGUGUUCACUAUCUGGGUGGACGUUUCUGUUGGUUCGCUCUUGGUGCUCUUCAUCGGGUGCCAUUUGGUGGCCAGCACGUUUACUUUGAAAAAAUUGGAGUGCUCAAAGCAGGCGUUACAGCCUGAACAUUAGUGCAUGGAAUAAUGGAAUAGGAUCUCGAUUCUAUUUCGUUGGCUUUCGGAGUCGAGGUAAUGAUUAAUAGGGACAGACGGGGGCAUUCGUACUGCGACGUUAGAGGUGAAAUUCUUGGAUCGUCGCAAGACGAACUACUGCGAAAGCAUUUGCCAAGAAUGUUUUCAUUAAUCAAGAACGAAAGUUAGAGGUUCGAAGGCGAUCAGAUACCGCCCUAGUUCUAACCAUAGACGAUGCCAACCGGCGAUCCGUCGUCGUUAAUUGAAUGACUCGACGGGCAGCCUCCGGGAAACCAGAGUGUUUGGGUUCCGGGGGAAGUAUGGUUGCAAAGCUGAAACUUAAAGGAAUUGACAGAAGGGCACCACCAGGAGUGGAGCCUGCGGCUUAAUUUGACCCAACACGGGAAAUCUCACCAGGCCCGGACACCGGAAGGAUUGACAGAUUGAGAGCUCUUUCUUGAUUCGGUGGGUGGUGGUGCAUGGCCGUUCUUAGUUGGUGGAGCGAUUUGUCUGGUUAAUUCCGAUAACGAACGAGACUCUGGCCUACUAACUAGAAGGUCUAUCCUUUAUGGGUAGGCCUCUGCUUCUUAGAGGGACGGGCGGCGUUUAGCCGCACGAGAAUGAGCAAUAACAGGUCUGUGAUGCCCUUAGAUGUUCUGGGCUGCACGCGCGCUACACUGAAGGAAUCAGCAUGUUCUCCCCUCCCUGAAAAGGGCGGGUAACCCGUUGAAACUCCUUCGUGAUGGGGAUUGGAGAUUGUAAUUAUUCUCCAUGAACGAGGAAUUCCCAGUAGGCGCGAGUCAUCAGCUUGCGUCGAUUACGUCCCUGCCCUUUGUACACACCGCCCGUCGCUACUACCGAUCGAGUGAUUUAGUGAGGACUUCGGACUGGUCUUCAAGUUGGCUUCGGUCGGCUCGAAGUUCCGGAAAGAUGCCCAAACUUGAUCACUUAGA